rnacentral:tRNA from 1 species
GAGGACAUAACUCAGUUGGUAGAGUAGGUGACUUUUAAUCACUUUGUCGAUGGUUCGAGUCCAUCUGUCCUCG